GUGGACCUUAAGUUCCGUCCGGGUUUGUAAUUCCGAUCCCAGUUCCCGUAAAUCUGUCUACGAUUUUGUUAGGUGACGGAGUUCGUUUUCGCAGCACACCACCCACCCCAUUUUCCCUGAGCCUAGCCGGCAAACUUUUAGUAGACAGAGAGUGCUGACGAGACGACACUUCCCGUGUCCGUUACAUAAGAAAUGGCGCCCAACGUGGGGCCCGAAUGGUCCGUUUUCCCCAAUAACCUUCCCCAAUCCCUUCCGCAACCCAAUAUUGAUCCAAAUUUUAAAGUAGUUCAGUUUUUUUGUUAUAUAUCCAGCUCGGAACCGCUGGGAAUCUGAUCAUUGUCGGACCCAGACCAGUGGAUAUAUUGCAUAGAAGAAGAUCACAUUAGACUUCAUUAUAUCAUUUCAUCAGGAUACUAGGAACGAUAGUUCUGAGUAAAUUGGUUCUAUACCUAGUAGCGAAGAUGAAUGACCUUUAUUCUCUCGAGAUUAGUUGAGACUUGUUCAGACUGGAGAAUUCGGUCCUGUUCCUCCUUUUCUCGAAAGGAUCAUCACCCAAACUUUCUUUUCU
rnacentral:lncRNA from 1 species